rnacentral:rRNA from 1 species
GACGAACGCUGGCGGCGUGCUUAACACAUGCAAGUCGAACGGAAAGGCCCUGCUUUUGUGGGGUGCUCGAUUGGCGAACGGGUGAGUAACACGUGAGUAACCUGCCCUUGUCUUUGUGAUAACUUCAGGAAACUGGGGCUAAUACCGGAUAGGAUCUCCUGCUGCAUGUUGGGGGUUGGAAAGUUUCGGCGGUUGGGGAUGGACUCGCGGCUUAUCAGCUUGUUGGUGGGGUAGUGGCUUACCAAGGCUUUGACGGGUAGCCGGCCUGAGAGGGUGACCGGCCACAUUGGGACUGAGAUACGGACCAGACUCCUACGGGAGGCAGCAGUGGGGAAUAUUGCACAAUGGGCGGAAGCCUGAUGCAGCAACGCCGCGUGCGGGAUGACGGCCUUCGGGUUGUAAACCGCUUUCGCCUGUGACGAAGCGUGAGUGACGGUAAUGGGUAAAGAAGCACCGGCUAACUACGUG